GAAAAGAGUUAGAANUACAGAAACU
rnacentral:tRNA from 1 species